AGUGGCUUCAGCCGGAGGGGGAGGGUAACGUGACAGCGGGGGAGGUGCAACAGCAGAGGCCUCCACGGGCUUAGUGCUCACCUCUGUGAUCAGAAGCAGCAGCACGAGCAGAGCACAGACUCCCCACACCUGGAGGACAAGGUCCUGCUCCCCUCCCACAGUCAGCGCGCAGGCUGCCCCAGGAGCACACCUGGAGGACAAGGUCCUGCUCCCCUCCCACAGUCAGCGCGCAGGCUGCCCCAGGAGCACACCUGGAGGACAAGGUCCUGCUCCCCUCCCACAGUCAGCGCGCAGGCUGCCCCAGGAGCACACCUGGAGGACAAGGUCCUGCUCCCCUCCCACAGUCAGCGCGCAGGCUGCCCCAGGAGCACACCUGGAGGACAAGGUCCUGCUCCCCUCCCACAGUCAGCGCGCAGGCUGCCCCAGGAGCACACCUGGAGGACAAGGUCCUGCUCCCCUCCCACAGUCAGCGCGCAGGC